UACAGAGGUCUCAAGCGUUGUUCGGAUUCAUUGGGCGUAAAGGGUGCGUAGGCGGCGCGGUAAGUCGGGUGUGAAAUCUUGGAGCUUAACUCCGAAACUGCAUUCGAUACUGCGGUGCUUGAGGACUGGAGAGGAGACUGGAAUUCAUGGUGUAGCAGUGAAAUGCGUAGAGAUCAUGAGGAAGACCAGUGGCGAAGGCGGGUCUCUGGGACGGUACUGACGCUGAGACGCGAAAGCGUGGGGAGCGAACAGG
rnacentral:rRNA from 1 species